rnacentral:misc_RNA from 1 species
GAUGAAGAACGCAGUGAAAUGCGAUAAGUAAUGUGAAUUACAGAAUUCAGUGAAUCAUCGAAUCUUUGAACGCACAUUGCGCUCCCUGGUAUUCCGGGGAGCAUGCCUGUUCGAGCGUCAUUACAACCCUCAAGCUCUGCUUGGUGUUGGGCCCCGCCGCCCCGUCGGGCCCUAAAGUCAGUGGCGGUGCCGUCCGGCUCCGAGCGUAGUAAUUUUUCUCGCUUUGGAGGCCCGGGCGCGUGCUUGCCAUCAACCCCCAAUUUUUUUCAGGUUGACCUCGGAUCAGGUAGGGAUACCCGCUGAACUUAAGCAUAUCAAUAAGCGGAGGA